UGGAGAAAAGCAGGGGAUCGCAAGACCUUGCGCUUUUGGAGCGGCCGAUGUCUGAUUAGCUAGUUGGUGGGGUAAAGGCUUACCAAGGCAACGAUCAGUAGUUGGUCUGAGAGGACGACCAGCCACACUGGGACUGAGACACGGCCCAGACUCCUACGGGAGGCAGCAGUGGGGAAUUUUGGACAACGGGCGAAAGCCUGAUCCAGCCAUGCCGCGUGAGUGAAGAAGGCCUUCGGGUUGUAAAGCUCUUUCAGUCGAGAAGAAAAAAUUGCGACUAAUAAUCGCAAUUCAUGACGGUAUCGACAGAAGAAGCACCGUCUAACUACGUGCCAACAGCCGCGGUAAUACGUAGGGUGCAAGCGUUAAUCGGAAUUACUGGGCGUAAAGGGUGCGCAGGCGGCCUUGUAAGCCAGAUGUGA
rnacentral:rRNA from 1 species